rnacentral:rRNA from 1 species
UAAGAGAGUUUGAUCCUGGCUCAGGAUGAACGCUGGCGGUAUGCCUAACACAUGCAAGUCGUACGGGAGUUUUUAACUCAAGUGGCGGACGGGUGAGUAACACGUGAGAAUUUACCUUUAGGAGGGGGAUAACAACUGGAAACGGCUGCUAAUACCCCAUAUGCUUUCGAGUGAAAUGGAAUUAUCCGCCUAGAGAGAAGCUCGCGGCUGAUUAGCUUGUUGGUAAGGUAAUGGCUUACCAAGGCGACGAUCAGUAUCUUGUUUGAGAGGAC